CCCGCGCGCGUUCCAGUUGCUUGCUGAUGAUUAUUUUUCCAGCAGCUGCGGCGGAGGAAGAGCCUCGGCCGCUGCGGCCCGCGCGCCGCCCUUCGCUCCCCGAACGAAUGGGAUCCGCGCGCGGGCUGCUCCGCCUUCGCGUCCCGUCCGCUUUUAGCCUCGCAACCUCCCGGCAGAGGUAGCAGUCAGCACCUGGGUUUGGGGGGAAACUGAGGCCUGGGUCCAUGAAGUAGAUGUUGCCAUUUUCUUUGUACAGAUGAGGAAGUUGAGGUUCAGAGAGGUUGAGAAACUGGACCAGCUCACACAAUGGUCCCCUGUGUCUGUGCAAGAGGAAGUCAUCCAGGAGCCCCAGAAAUGAGACUGCAGAUGCUUGCCUUCAAUCAGUGCAGAAAGCCAAGAGGUUCCUUGGUGCCGGUGGAUUUUGAGAGAGAAAAGCAAUGGCCUUUGUCUCCUUUGUGCUGCAGCUGUCUGCAGUUCCUCAACUCUGAGCACAUUUGUUGAUGGAUUUCCACAGCGGGCCUCCGUAUCUCCACCUGUCCUUUUGCUUCUGUACGAUGCCAGUCACUGGGGCACCCACAUCCCAGCACUUGGGAGGGAGAGCCAUCUGCUUGUUUCCGUUCUUCAGAUAAGGAGCACAGGGUACCAACCUGCUAGGUUGUUGGUCUGUGGGCACUCAGUGGGCUGGCUCAAGGUAGAGCAAAACCACUGAACUCUGGGUCUCCAGCCUCUGCCACUUAGCUCUGGGGAAGCAGGAACCAGAAGUCAGGGAAUCUGAUAUCUCCUGGUCUCAAUUUCCUGGCCUGUGAAGAACUUUGGCCUAUGUGGUCUCUCAUGGCCCUUCCAGGCAUUAUUGGAAAAAUAGCUUCUAUUUAUUUAUUCAGUUCAUCUUUAUUAAAAUCCAUCACCUGCCAGGCACCACUGUUACAGGUGGUGGAGACAAAGCAGUCAACAAAACAAAAGCUCUGUCUUCUUGGAGUUUACUUUUUAG